rnacentral:rRNA from 1 species
UGGUGAGAUAAAAGCCCACCAAGGCAACGAUCAGUAACCGGCUUGAGAGAGUGAACGGUCACAUUGGAACUGAGACACGGUCCAAACUCCUACGGGAGGCAGCAGUGGGGAAUCUUGCACAAUGGAGGCAACUCUGAUGCAGCGACGCCGCGUGAGCGAUGAAGGAAUUCGUUUCGUAAAGCUCUGUCCUAGGGGAAGAUAAUGACAGUACCCUUGGAGGAAGCCCCGGCUAAAUACGUGCCAGCAGCCGCGGUAAUACGUAUGGGGCGAGCGUUGUCCGGAAUUAUUGGGCGUAAAGGGUACGUAGGCGGUUUCAUAAGUCAGAUGUGAAAGCUUGGGGCUCAACCCCAUAAAGCAUUUGAAACUGUGGAACUUGAGUAGUGGAGAGGAAAGUGGAAUUCCUAGUGUAGCGGUGAAAUGCGUAGAUAUUAGGAGGAAUACCAGUGGCGAAGGCGACUUUCUGGACACAAACUGACGCUGAGGUACGAAAGCAUGGGGAGCAAACAGGAUUAGAUACCCUGGUAGUCCAUGCCGUAAACGAUGAAUGCUAGGUGUCGGGGGUCAAACCUCGGUGCCGUCGUUAA